rnacentral:sRNA from 1 species
UCAGCUGAAGGAGCAAACUUGGUCAAA